rnacentral:lncRNA from 10 species
CCUGCAGAAGCUUUGUUCCUUCCCCCUUUGCAAUGAAUUUUCCUGCUGCUGGCUUUUUAGGUCUGCACUACCUUUAUGAGCUGUAACACUCAUUCUGCAGUUUCACUCCUGAAGCCAGCGAGACCAUGAAGCAACCCCAAGGAAAACAACUCCAGACAUGCCACCUUUAAGAGCUGUAACAGUCAUUGCCAAGGUCUGCAGCUUCACCCCUGGAGUCAUUAAGAUCGUGAACCCAUCAGAAUGAAGAAACUCCGGACACAUCUGAAAAUCUUAAGGAACAAACUAUGGACACACCAUCUGUAAGAACUGUAACACUCACCAGGUGGGUCCAUGUUUUCAUUUUUGAAGUCAGCGAGACCAAGAACCCACCAGAAGAAACCGAUUCUAGACGCAGUACUGUUCUAGGAUCAAGAUACGUGUUCAUCAUGUCCUCACCUGUCUCAAGAUAAUAAGCUUUGAAGACACAUCAUCCUUUCAACCCAGUCAUACAGUUGAGAAGUUCACACAAGAAGUUACCUUCCUUUCUCUGUGAAGGGACAAAUUGCCUCAACUCUCAUGCAAGGACCGCCCUCCCCCCAACCUUCGUCUGUCUUGUAGUGAGCCUCUGGGACUCCCAUGGGGGAAGGGGCACCCAGCACAGCCCUCACAGCGUGGUUGGGUCACGAUUCAUGCUUAUUUAUUUGCCUGACAACUGCUCAGGAGAUGAAGAAAAAAA